CCCUGCGUCACGUGUUGAGAUUGUCCCGUCGAGAGAAAUAAUUGUGCUUUUUGUUGCAACUGCUGCGCUUAUUUGACUCAACUGUUGCAUUUCAUCAACGGAUAACGCCUCAUUUCUGACUUUCGAAAAAAUUGGAUAUUAUUUUUUAAUCAUAAUAAUAUACAUGUAUGCCGUUGGAUAACCAAUAAUACUAAUAAUACACAGAGACACAUCAUACUACGUACUAACCAUGACAGCGAAAUUUCCGAGCCACCAAUGUCUUGGUACACUUCGUACAAGCUUCAGUAGAACGUUUGUUUGUGUCAGUUCUAUUGGAUAAACUACACACCAGAGGACGGAUAUAUUGCUCUGGAUAUUUCGUUAAAAAAAAAAGACCAACAGACUGGAUAAUAAUUUUUAUCAUUUUGGAUAUGAUUUUCGUUAUUUGUGUCCGUGCUGUUAGAAUACAUCAGAAUACGGAUACAUCGUUCUGAAUAUUUCGUAAAAACACACUGGAUAAUCAUUAAUUAUUGUGAUUAAUAUUAUUGUUAUUAUUGUCUACAUCUUUCAUCGGAUAAACCACACAUCAGAUCAGAAUUCGGAUACAUCGCAUUUAUAUCUUUCGUAAAAACAGAUUGGAUACUCGAUUAUAAUUAUUGUGAUUGCUAUUAUUAUCAUCGUCAUUAUUGUCCUCAUCAUCUCUGUUGCCACAAGUGAGGACAGUGUCUAAGGAUUCGUGCGGGUUUUGUUUGUUUGUUGUUUUUUUUUCGAACGGGAUUAUCUUCAUCUGGAAAGAAAACAAGAUCUGAAACAUCAGGAGUUUGGAGACGCUCGCCAGUAUUGUCGCCCAAAUGGAUAUAUCGGUGGCUGUAAGAAGUCUGCUGGUACUGGUCCAGCUGGUGGUGCUAUUGCUGGGAGUGUGCCUGUGCCUGCCGGAGAUCCGAGUGAGGGAGCCAACGUUCAACCCCGGGCCGCGCAAAGUGAGCUACAGGAGAGGGGAGAAAGCGCGCCUCUUCUGCUCUGUCAGACAUCUGGGCGAGAGG